rnacentral:rRNA from 1 species
AGAGUGAACGCUGGCGGCAGGCCUAACACAUGCAAGUCGAACGGCAGCACAGGGGAGCUUGCUCCCUGGGUGGCGAGUGGCGGACGGGUGAGGACAACGUCGGAAUCUGCCUUUUUGUGGGGGAUAACGUAGGGAACCUUACGCUAAUACCGCAUACGACCCCAGGCCGGGAGGUUUGGGGUGAAAGCGGAGGACCUUCGGGCUUCGCGCAGAAAGAUGAGCCGACGUCGGAUUAGCUAGUUGGUGGGUAAAGGCCCACCAAGGCGACGAUCCGUAGCUGGUCUGAGAGGAUGAUCAGCCACACUGGAACUGAGACACGGUCCAGACUCCUACGGGAGGCAGCAGUGGGAAUAUUGGACAAGUGGGCGCAAGCCUGAUCCAGCCAUGCCGCGUGUGUGAAGAAGCCGUUGGUUGUAAGCUAGUUUGUAGGAAGAAAGCACGUCGUUAAUACCGGUGUCCGUGACGGUACCAAAGAAUAAGC